rnacentral:rRNA from 1 species
GCAGGGGGCAAGGGGGGUUCAUGGGGCUGCGUGCGUGCGCACGUCGGGCUCCUUGGGAAUCGCAGGAGCUCGACAGUGAGCUCGUGCGCACGCGACCGCGGCUGAGGCCACGACGGCAAGCUCGUCGGCGGUUGCAGGUUCGACCAUGACGGCAACGAGGUCUACAGGCACGGUAAACGACAGGGAAGAAGGGGGAUCGACGUUGUUGCUCACCGCGGACCUGCAGAUGUGCAUGAGCGGGCUCGGGGCAGGCUCGGUGCAGCAGAACGACGGCGGCGGCCUUCGGUGGAAGCAGAGGGCCGGCUCAACGAUGGAAGGGGUUCCGGCUCGUUUCGUCUCCGUAGUAGACGCAGCGGACGACGGCGGUCUUUGUGGACGCAACGGCGAGGCGAGAUGUGCCUGCUGGCCAUGGCAGAGUGAGGCGAGCGGCAACGACCGUGCUCGGCGAUGGAUCUGGAGGAGGUGACGAGUGCGUGGGCAAGAGAGAGAGCGAGGGGGCGCAAGUGGGGAGCGGUGAGUGGACGGGAGGGCUCGAGGCGUCGAGGGGACGGCGCCCUUAUCCCCUCGGGGCGGCGCCGGCGAGCUGGUCCGACAGGGACGUGUCCCUGUAGC